GAGAGGUGCUGCAUGGCUGUCGUCAGCUCGUGCUGUGAAAUGUUGGGUUAAGUCUCGCAACGAGCGCAACCCCUAUCGUCUGUUGCCAGCAUUAAGUUGGGCACUCUGACGAGACUGCCUGGGUUAACCAGGAGGAAGGUGGGGAUGACGUCAAGUCCUCAUGGCCCUUAUGUCUAGGGCUACACACGUAAUACAAUGGCGCGUACAAAGGGAAGCGAACUCGCAAGAGGGAGCAAAUCUCAAAAAGCGCGCCUCAGUUCGGAUUGAAGUCUGCAACUCGACUUCAUGAAGUCGGAAUCGCUAGUA
rnacentral:rRNA from 1 species